UACGUUCCCGGGCCUUGUACACACCGCCCGUCACACCACGAAAGUGGGCAACACCCGAAGCCGGUGGCCCAACCCUUUGGGAGGGAGCCGUCGAAGGUGGGGCUCGCAAUUGGGGUG
rnacentral:rRNA from 1 species